rnacentral:rRNA from 1 species
GACGAACGCUGGCGGCGUGCUUAACACAUGCAAGUCGAACGGGCCUUGUCCCCUUUUUUUUGGGGGUGGGGUUAGUGGCGAACGGGUGAGUAACACGUGAGUAACCUGCCCCUCACUUCUGGAUAACCGCUUGAAAGGGUGGCUAAUACGGGGUGUUCUGGCCUGCUCGCAUGGGUGGGUUUGGAAAGAUUCGACAGGUGUUGGUUGUUUUGGUGGGGGAUGGGCUCGCGGCCUAUCAGCUUGUUGGGGGGGUGAUGGCCUGCCAAGGGUUUGACGGGUAGCCGGCCUGAGAGGGUGGGCGGUCACACUGGGACUGAGACACGGCCCAGACUCCUACGGGAGGCAGCAGUGGGGAAUAUUGCACAAUGGGCGCAAGCCUGAUGCAGCGACGCCGCGUGAGGGAUGGAGGCCUUCGGGUUGUGAACCUCUUUCGCCAGUGAAGAAGGUCCUGCUCUUUGUGGUGGGGUUGACGGUAGCUGGGUUAAUGAAGCGCCGGCUAACUACGUG